GAUGAAGAACGCAGCGAAAUGCGAUAAGUAAUGUGAAUUGCAGAAUUCAGUGAAUCAUCGAAUCUUUGAACGCACCUUGCACUCCUUGGUAUUCCGAGGAGUAUGCUUGUUUGAGAGUAAUGUAAUCAUCAAUCCUCCUUUACUUUUGUGAAGUUGGCUUGGAUUUGGGGAUUGCUGGCCUUUCAUUAGGUCCUGGCUUCCCUUGAAUGCAUUAGUUGAAUCAAGUUACAACGUUACGUGUGGUGUGAUAAUAUCUUCACUGCAUAGUUGUAAUGAAGUUUGGCUUCUAACAGUCCUUCACUGGACAAUACUUUGAACAAUGUACCUCAAAUCAAGUAGGACUACCCGCUGAACUUAAGCAUAUCAAUAAGCGGAGGA
rnacentral:misc_RNA from 1 species